AGAGAUGCAUUGGGUUUAAAGNGUGCGCAGGCGGUUUUGUAAGACAGAGGUGAAAUCCCCGGGCUCAACCUGGGAACUGCCUUUGUGACUGCAAGGCUGGAGUGCGGCAGAGGGGGAUGGAAUUCCGCGUGUAGCAGUGAAAUGCGUAGAUAUGCGGAGGAACACCGAUGGCGAAGGCAAUCCCCUGGGCCUGCACUGACGCUCAUGCACGAAAGCGUGGGGAGCAAACA
rnacentral:rRNA from 1 species